rnacentral:rRNA from 1 species
CGAACGUUGGAGGGAUGUUUUAAGCAUGCAAGUCGAGCGGUAACAGAGGAGCUUGCUCCUGCUGACGAGCGGCGAACUGGUGAGUAACGCGUAGUUAUCUGCCUUACAGACUGGGAUAGCCAUUGGAAACAGUGAUUAAUACCGGAUAUUGCCUACGGGUGAAAGGCGCGUUUUGCGCCACUGUAAGAUGAGAUUGCGUCCUAUUAGCUAGAUGGCGGGGUAAGAGCCCACCAUGGCGACGAUAGGUAGCCGGCCUGAGAGGGUGAACGGCCACAUUGGGACUGAGAUACGGCCCAGACUCCUACGGGAGGCAGCAGCUAAGAAUAUUCCGCAAUGGACGAAAGUCUGACGGAGCAAUCCCUCGUGAGCGAUGAAGGCCUUCGGGUUGUAAAGCUCUUUCGCCAAGGAAGAAAAGCCAGUGCAGGAAAUGGCAUUGGUCUGACGGUACUUGGAUAAGAAGCACCGACUAAAUAC